GCUUGGCCCUAAACACAGAUAGUACAAACACAAUACUAUCCGCCAGAGAACUACAAGCGAAAAGCUCAAAACUCCAAGGACUUGGCGGUGCUUCAAACCAACCUAGAGGAGCCUGUCCUAUAAUCGAUACCCCACGUUCUACCUUUCCCCCCCUUGAAACUCAGCCUAUAUACCGCCGUCGCCAGCCUACCUUGUGAAAGAAACAAAGUAAGCAAAAUAGUUAACAACUAAUACGUCAGGUCAAGGUGUAGCACACGGGGCGGCAGAGAUGGGCUACAUUUUUUCUAAAAACACACGAACGGCACACUGAAACAUGUACCUAAAGGUGGAUUUAGUAGUAAGAUAGACAAGAGAAACUAUCUUAAACCAGCUCUGAAGCGCGC
rnacentral:rRNA from 1 species